rnacentral:tRNA from 1 species
GCCUGGGUGGCUCAGUCGAUGGAGCGUCUGACUUCAGCUCGGGUCACAAAUCUUGAGGUUCGUGGGUUCAAGCCCCAUAUUGGGCU